AUGCACGCUGGCGGCGUGCCUCAUACAUGCAAGUCGCGCGAACAGACGAGGAGCUUGCUCCUCUGACGUUAGCGGCGGACGGGUGAGUAACACGUGGAUAACCUACCUAUAAGACUGGGAUAACUUCGGGAAACCGGAGCUAAUACCGGAUAAUAUAUUGAACCGCAUGGUUCAAUAGUGAAAGACGGUUUUGCUGUCACUUAUAGAUGGAUCCGCGCCGCAUUAGCUAGUUGGUAAGGUAGCGGCUUACCAAGGCAACGAUGCGUAGCCGACCUGAGAGGGUGAUCGGCCACACUGGAACUGAGACACGGUCCAGACUCCUACGGGAGGCAGCAGUAGGGAAUCUUCCGCAAUGGGCGAAAGCCUGACGGAGCAACGCCGCGUGAGUGAUGAAGGUCUUCGGAUCGUAAAACUCUGUUAUUAGGGAAGAACAAAUGUGUAAGUAACUAUGCACGUCUUGACGGUACCUAAUCAGAAAGCCACGGCUAACUACGUG
rnacentral:rRNA from 1 species